rnacentral:rRNA from 1 species
AGUGAACGCUGGCGGCGUGCUUAACACAUGCAAGUCGAACGAGAACGGGUUAUAGCUUGCUAUAAUUGUCAGCUAAGUGGCGCACGGGUGAGUAAUGUAUAGGUAAUAUGCCUCUUACUAAGGGAUAACAAAUGGAAACGUUUGCUAAUACCUUAUACUCCUUAUUAACAGAAGUUAAUAAGGGAAAGAUUUAUUGGUAAGAGAUUAGCCUGUAUUGUAUCAGUUAGUUGGUGGGGUAAUGGCUUACCAAGACUAUGACACAUAACUGGUUUGUGAGGAUGAUCAGUAACACUGGAACUGAGACACUGUCCAGAUUCCUACGUGAGGCAGCAGUGGGGAAUAUUGCACAAUGGUCGGAAGUCUGAUGCAGCAACGCCGCGUGGAGGAUGACACAUUUCGGUGCGUAAACUCCUUUUAUAUGAGAAGAUAAUGACGGUAUUAUAUGAAUAAGCACCGGCUAACUCCGUGCCAGCCGCCGCCGUAA